rnacentral:rRNA from 1 species
AGUGAACGCUGGCGGUAGGCCUAACACAUGCAAGUCGAACGGCAGCACAGUAAGAGCUUGCUCUUACGGGUGGCGAGUGGCGGACGGGUGCGGAAUACAUCGGAAUCUACUUUUUCGUGGGGGAUGACGUAGGGAAACUUACGCUAAUACCGCAUACGACCUACGGGUGAAAGCAGGGGAUCUUCGGACCUUGCGCGAUUGAAUGAGCCGAUGUCGGAUUAGCUAGUUGGCGGGGUAAAGGCCCACCAAGGGGACGAUCCGUAGCUGGUCUGAGAGGAUGAUCAGCCACACUGGAACUGAGACACGGUCCAGACUCCUACGGGAGGCAGCAGUGGGGAAUAUUGGACAAUGGGCGCAAGCCUGAUCCAGCCAUACCGCGUGGGUGAAGAAGGCCUUCGGGUUGUAAAGCCCUUUUGUUGGGAAAGAAAAGCAGCAGGUUAAUACCCCGCUGUUCUGACGGUACCCAAAGAAUAAGCACCGGCUAACUUCGUG